CAAGAGGCUUUAACUACAGCCUUACAAAUGCGUGAUGUGUCAAUUGUGAAUUGGAUUUGCUCCCAGGUCUUGACUAUGGAUCCUCUCCCUUUGAGUCAAGAAGUAUUGGUUCAAUUGUUGUGGUUUUUACCAUAUUGUAUCAAUACCAACCCAGCCGUAAUAAUUGCUUGGAUGACACACGUUUUUAAUUCCAUAAUCCCAACUGAUCCGGCAAUUGAAAUGCAUGUGCGGCCCAUCUUCAAUCAAGUUUAUGCCGCACUCAACCAUAUAAGUGUCCUGCCCACAAUUACUGAUGAUGUGCGGUCAACUAUACGUCUUCUGAUGAAUGGUUUACUUCCACCUUGAGACAAAAAUGAUAGUUAAUGAGCUAAAAUGAAUAUUUUGUGUGGGAGUUGUAAUGGAUGGAGCUAGCUUUCAGAUGGACUCCUGGAUGUAAUGGAGUUGUAAUGAAGAUUGACUCCAUUAUUUUAUUUUAUUUUACUUUUUUUGUUGUUCUUAUAAGAUGUUCAUAUAUGUUGUGUACUAGCUAAAG